rnacentral:rRNA from 1 species
AUACGGAGGAUGCGAGCGUUAUCCGGAUUUAUUGGGUUUAAAGGGAGCGUAGGCGGGAGCUUAAGUCAGCGGUUAAAUGGUGCGGCUCAACCGUGCCCUGCCGUUGAAACUGGGUUUCUUGAGAGUGCAAGAGGCGGAUGGGAUUCAUGGGGUAGCGGUGAAAUGCUUAGAUAUCAUGAAGAACUCCGAUUGCGAAGGCAGUCCGCUGGGGCACGUCUGACGCUGAUGCUCGAAGGUGCGGGAAUCAAACAGGAUUAGAUACCCUGGUAGUCCGCACGGUAAACGAUGAUUACCCGCUGUCGGCGGCAGACAGUCGGCGGCCAAGCGAAAGCGAUAAGUAAUCCACCUGGGGAGUACGCCGGCAACGGUGAAACUCAAAUGAAUUGACGGGG